rnacentral:rRNA from 1 species
CCUACGGGAGGCUGCAGUGGGGGAUAUUGCACAAUGGGGGGAACCCUGAUGCAGCGACGCCGCGUGGGUGAAGAAGCGCCUCGGCGCGUAAAGCCCUGUCAGCAGGGAAGAAAAUGACGGUACCUGAAGAAGAAGCCCCGGCUAACUACGUGCCAGCAGCCGCGGGAAUACGUAGGGGGCAAGCGUUAUCCGGAUUUACUGGGUGUAAAGGGGGCGCAGACGGCGAUGCAAGCCAGGAGUGAAAGCCCGGGGCCCAACCCCGGGACUGCUCUUGGAACUGCGUGGCUGGAGUGCAGGAGGGGCAGGCGGAAUUCCUGGUGUAGCGGUGAAAUGCGUAGAUAUCAGGAGGAACACCGGUGGCGAAGGCGGCCUGCUGGACUGCAACUGACGUUGAGGCCCGAAAGCGUGGGGAGCAAACAGGAUGAGAUACCCCUGUAGUC